rnacentral:tRNA from 1 species
GCGGCAGUAGCUCAGCAUCAGAGCGCCGGUCUUGUAAGCCGGCCGCCGGAGGUUAAAUUCCUCCCUGCCGCU